rnacentral:rRNA from 1 species
GUGGGUGGAUAUAGUGGCGAACGGGUGAGUAACACGUGAGUAACCUGCCCUUGACUCUGGGAUAAGCCUGGGAAACUGGGUCUAAUACCGGAUAUGACCUUCCAUCGCAUGGUGGUUGGUGGAAAGCUUUUGUGGUUUUGGAUGGACUCGCGGCCUAUCAGCUUGUUGGUGGGGUAAUGGCCUACCAAGGCGACGACGGGUAGCCGGCCUGAGAGGGUGACCGGCCACACUGGGACUGAGACACGGCCCAGACUCCUACGGGAGGCAGCAGUGGGGAAUAUUGCACAAUGGGCGGAAGCCUGAUGCAGCGACGCCGCGUGAGGGAUGACGGCCUUCGGGUUGUAAACCUCUUUCAGUAGGGAAGAAGCGAGAGUGACGGUACUGCAGAGAAGCGCCGGCUAACUACGUGCCAGCAGCCGCGGUAAUACGUAGGGCGCAAGCGUUAUCCGGGAAUUAUUGGGCGUAAAGAGCUCGUAGGCGGUUUGUCGCGUCUGCCGUGAAAGUCCGGGGCUCAACUCCGGAUCUGCGGUGGGUACGGGCAGACUAGAGUGAUGUAGGGGAGACUGGAAUUCCUGGUGUAGCGGUGAAAUGCGCAGAUAUCAGGAGGAACACCGAUGGCGAAGGCAGGUCUCUGGGCAUUAACUGACGCUGAGGAGCGAAAGCAUGGGGAGCGAACAGGAUUAGAUACCCUGGUAGUCCAUGCCGUAAACGUUGGGCACUAGGUGUGGGGGACAUUCCACGUUUUCCGCGCCGUAGCUAACGCAUUAAGUGCCCCGCCUGGGGAGUACGGCCGCAAGGCUAAAACUCAAAGGAAUUGACGGGGGCCCGCACAAGCGGCGGAGCAUGCGGAUUAAUUCGAUGCAACGCGAAGAACCUUACCAAGGCUUGACAUGAACCGGACCGGGCUGGAAACAGUCUUUCCCCUUGUGGGCUGGUUUACAGGUGGUGCAUGGUUGUCGUCAGCUCGUGUCGUGAGAUGUUGGGUUAAGUCCCGCAACGAGCGCAACCCUCGUUCUAUGUUGCCAGCACGUGAUGGUGGGGACUCAUAGGAGACUGCCGGGGUCAACUCGGAGGAAGGUGGGGACGACGUCAAAUCAUCAUGCCCCUUAUGUCUUGGGCUUCACGCAUGCUACAAUGGCCGGUACAAAGGGUUGCGAUACUGUGAGGUGGAGCUAAUCCCAAAAAGCCGGUCUCAGUUCGGAUUGGGGUCUGCAACUCGACCCCAUGAAGUCGGAGUCGCUAGUAAUCGCAGAUCAGCAACGCUGCGGUGAAUACGUUCCCGGGCCUUGUACACACCGCCCGUCAAGUCACGAAAGUUGGUAACAUUUCGAA